CUGCAAGACCGAGCCCAUGCAGGAUUAGCUAGUUGGUGGGGGUAAGUGGGUUACACCCAAGGGCAACGAUCCUUUAGUUGGUCUGAGAGGAUGAUCAGCCACACUGGAACUGAGACAGGUCCAGACUCCUACGGGAGGCAGCAGUGGGGAAUAUUGGACAAUGGGCGUAAGCCUGAUCCAGCGACGCCGCGUGAGUGAAGAAGGCCUUCGGGUUGUAAAGUUCUUUUAGUGGGGAAGAUAAUGACGGUACCCACAGAAAAGCCCCGGCUAACUUCGUGC
rnacentral:rRNA from 1 species